GUUUGAUCCUGGCUCAGAUUGAACGCUGGCGGCAGGCCUAACACAUGCAAGUCGAGCGGUAGAGAGAAGCUUGCUUCUCUUGAGAGCGGCGGACGGGUGAGUAAAGCCUAGGAAUCUGCCUGGUAGUGGGGGAUAACGUUCGGAAACGGACGCUAAUACCGCAUACGUCCUACGGGAGAAAGCAGGGGACCUUCGGGCCUUGCGCUAUCAGAUGAGCCUAGGUCGGAUUAGCUAGUUGGUGAGGUAAUGGCUCACCAAGGCGACGAUCCGUAACUGGUCUGAGAGGAUGAUCAGUCACACUGGAACUGAGACACGGUCCAGACUCCUACGGGAGGCAGCAGUGGGGAAUAUUGGACAAUGGGCGAAAGCCUGAUCCAGCCAUGCCGCGUGUGUGAAGAAGGUCUUCGGAUUGUAAAGCACUUUAAGUUGGGAGGAAGGGCAGUUACCUAAUACGUGAUUGUUUUGACGUUACCGACAGAAUAAGCACCGGCUAACUCUGUGCCAGCAGCCGCGGUAAUACAGAGGGUGCAAGCGUUAAUCGGAAUUACUGGGCGUAAAGCGCGCGUAGGUGGUUUGUUAAGUUGGAUGUGAAAUCCCCGGGCUCAACCUGGGAACUGCAUUCAAAACUGACUGACUAGAGUGUGGUAGAGGGUGGUGGAAUUUCCUGUGUAGCGGUGAAAUGCGUAGAUAUAGGAAGGAACACCAGUGGCGAAGGCGACCACCUGGACCAACACUGACACUGAGGUGCGAAAGCGUGGGGAGCAAACAGGAUUAGAUACCCUGGUAGUCCACGCCGUAAACGAUGUCAACUAGCCGUUGGGAGCCUUGAGCUCUUAGUGGCGCAGCUAACGCAUUAAGUUGACCGCCUGGGGAGUACGGCCGCAAGGUUAAAACUCAAAUGAAUUGACGGGGGCCCGCACAAGCGGUGGAGCAUGUGGUGUAAUUCGAAA
rnacentral:rRNA from 1 species